rnacentral:rRNA from 1 species
ACGGAAGGCAGCAGUGAGGAAUAUUGGUCAAUGGACGGAAGUCUGAACCAGCCAAGUCGCGUGAAGGAUGAAGGUAUUAUGUAUUGUAAGCUUCUUUAGCAGUGGAGUAAUAAGGGGAUCGCGAUCCCUGAUGCAAGUACACUGAGAAUAAGGAUCGGCUAACUCCGUGCCAGCAGCCGCGGUAAUACGGAGGAUCCGAGCGUUAUCCGGAUUUAUUGGGUUUAAAGGGUGCGCAGGCGGCUUUUUAAGUCAGUGGUUAAAUCGUGACGCUCAACGUCAUCACGCCAUUGAUACUGGAGAGCUUGAUUGCGGUCGAGGUUUGCGGAAUUCGUUGUGUAGCGGUGAAAUGCAUAGAUAUGACGAAGAACACCGAUUGCGUAGGCAGCAGACCAGGCCGUAAAUGACGCUCAUGCACGAAAGUGCGGGGAUCGAACAGGAUUAGAUACCCUGGUA